GGACGGGGCCCGCACAAGCGGAGGAACAUGUGGUUUAAUCGAUGAUACGCGAGGAACCUUACCCGGGCUUGAAAUGCAUCUGACCGGCCUUGAAAGAGGUUUUUCCCCUUCGGGGCAGAUGUGUAGGUGCUGCAUGGUUGUCGUCAGCUCGUGCCGUGAGGUGUCGGCUUAAGUGCCAUAACGAGCGCAACCCUCAUCAUUAGUUACCAUCAGGUAAGGCUGGGGACUCUAAUGAGACUGCCAUCGUAAGAUGUGAGGAAGGUGGGGAUGACGUCAAAUCAGCACGGCCCUUACGUCCGGGGCGACACACGUGUUACAAUGGGUGGUACAAAGGGCAGCUACCUGGCGACAGGAUGCUAAUCUCCAAAACCACUCUCAGUUCGGAUCGGAGUCUGCAACUCGACUCCGUGAAGCUGGAUUCGCUAGUAAUCGCGCAUCAGCCACGGCGCGGUGAAUACGUUCCCGGGCCUU
rnacentral:rRNA from 1 species